GAUGAAGAACGCAGCGAAAUGCGAUAAGUAAUGUGAAUUGCAGAAUUCAGUGAAUCAUCGAAUCUUUGAACGCACAUUGCGCCCGCCAGUAUUCUGGCGGGCAUGCCUGUUCGAGCGUCAUUACAACCCUCAGGCCCCCGGGCCUGGCGUUGGGGAUCGGCGGAGCCCCCCGUGGGCACACGCCGUCCCCCAAAUGUAGUGGCGGUCCCGCCGCAGCUUCCAUCGCGUAGUAGCUAACACCUCGCGACUGGAGAGCGGCGCGGCCACGCCGUAAAACACCCAACUCUUCUGAAGUUGACCUCGAAUCAGGUAGGAAUACCCGCUGAACUUAAGCAUAUCAAUAAGCGGAGGA
rnacentral:misc_RNA from 1 species